rnacentral:misc_RNA from 1 species
AACCUUAUGGACCUGCGGGCGUAUACCUGCGGAAGGAUCAUUACAAAAGGAGGAUGCGACAAUGCUGGGCCGAAGGCGAAGGGUUGGGAAGGAUGGAGAAAGCGAGCCGAAGGCGAGGCGAAGGAGGCGAAGAGACUUUGUUCUCGUUGUUCUCGUCGUUCGUUCUUUCCUCGGUUCCUCCUAUUCUCUCAACAAUCUCAACCCUCAGCCCUCAGCCCAUCUAUAUUUGCCCGUUUGUAU